rnacentral:rRNA from 1 species
CGUCUAUAUACGUAUAGCAUAUCAAUAAGCGGAGGAAAAGAAACUAACUAGGAUUCCCUCAGUAACGGCGAGUGAAGCGGGAAGAGCUCGAAUUUGAAAUCUUCAAGGUUCUACCUUGACGAAUUGUAGUUUAAAGAAGUGUUUUCUGUUGGAGUUUUGGUAAAAGUUCUUUGGAAUAGGACAUCAUAGAGGGUGAGAAUCCCGUAUUUGACCAUUAUUUCCAACUUUGUGAUACACUUUCAAAGAGUCGGAUUGUUUGGGAAUGCAGUCCAAAAUGGGUGGUAAAUUUCAUCUAAAGCUAAAUACUGGCGAGAGACCGAUAGCGAACAAGUACCGUGAGGGAAAGAUGAAAAGAACUUUGAAAAGAGAGUUAAACAGUACGUGAAAUUGUCAAAAGGGAAGCGUUUGACACCAGUGUUGUUUUCUCGAAAAUCAAUUAAAAAUGGCGGGAUUUUGUGUUGUAUUGACUUUAUCAGCUUUCUGCACUCUUUUCCUGUCUUUUUUAAUGCACUUUUCGUUUAACAAGUCAACAUCAAUUUCUUUUGUUGUAAAAGGGUCAUUGGAAGGUGGCUUUCUUUUCGGAGAAAGUGUUUAUAGCCUUUGGCUUCUGCAAUCGGAGAGAUUGAGGUCUGCAGCGUAGAUCCUUCGGGGUUAGAUACAUUUGUGCUAAGUUAUAGCCUUUCAUAGACAACUUGUUGACUAUGAUCAGUCAUGUAGCUUACUCGCUUAUGUUAUUUUACCUACGCUUAGGAUGUUGACGAUCAGCUGAGCGCG